rnacentral:rRNA from 1 species
GGUCAACGCCACCUAAGACCAAUAUCUAAACGGAGAAAUUCAAUACUACCGUCAAACGUAGUGUGCACUUUUCUCUUAGUAAGACGCCGUGAUCCAUUAGAAAUUGAUACAUACAAAAUGUAUAUUGGGUCAUCAAUAGGCCAGCAUGAAGUUUAUUGGAACAAAUGGCAUCAUCAUUUACGGUUGUGUGUAUUGUCUAGUAAGCAUGUUGUGUCCUGGAAUGACUGUCUGAUGGAUUUUAAAGAUAUUAUCAAUGAUGUCAAGGCAUCACUUACGAUUAUAGUAAGAAUUCUCUCGAUAUGUGUCUGAUCAACGGUGGUUAAAUUUGGGAUACCUUUUGGACCCGUCUUGAAACACGGACCAAGGAGUCUAUCUAGUAUGCGAGUAAAUGGAUAGUUAAUGAAAUCUAUUUGCAAAAUAAACUUGACUGUUUUUAUUGGGAAUACCAAUUGAUUUAAUCCGGCCUUCUUUCCUUUCCGGGGGAAUUUUAACAAACAUAGGCUUUGGCAUAGGAAAAAUAUUCCAUGGGCCACCUGGAAACCACCCCAAAAAAGGGGAACUUAGCCUGAACCGGGCCAAAUUCGGGGAAACCCUGGAGGGGGACCCAAGCAGUUCUAACGGGCAAAUCCAUUGGCCAAAUUGGGCCUGGGGCCAAAAAACCAAUCGAACCCUU